CCUACGGGUGGCACCAGUAGGGAAUCUUCGGCAAUGGACGAAAGUCUGACCGAGCAACGCCGCGUGAGUGAAGAAGGUUUUCGGAUCGUAAAACUCUGUCGUUAGAGAAGAACAAGUAGGAGAGUAACUGCUCUUACCUUGACGGUAUCUAACCAGAAAGCCACGGCUAACUACGUGCCAGCAGCCGCGGUAAUACGUAGGUGGCAAGCGUUGUCCGGAUUUAUUGGGCGUAAAGCGAGCGCAGGCGGUCUUUUAAGUCUGAUGUGAAAGCCCUCGGCUCAACCGAGGAAGGUCAUUGGAAACUGGAGGACUUGAGUGCAGAAGAGGAGAGUGGAAUUCCAUGUGUAGCGGUGAAAUGCGUAGAUAUAUGGAGGAACACCAGUGGCGAAGGCGACUCUCUGGUCUGUAUCUGACGCUGAGGCUCGAAAGCGUGGGGAGCAAGCAGGAUUAGAUACCCCUGUAGUC
rnacentral:rRNA from 1 species